rnacentral:rRNA from 1 species
AGAGUUUGAUCCUGGCUCAGGACGAACGCUGGCGGCGUGCUUAACACAUGCAAGUCGAGCGGAAAGGCCCUUCGGGGUACUCGAGCGGCGAACGGGUGAGUAACACGUGAGUAAUCUGCCCCUAGCUCUGGGAUAGCUCCGGGAAACCGGGAUUAAUACCAGAUACGACUCCUUCGGACAUCUGAAGGAGUGGAAAGAUUUAUCGGCUAGGGAUGAGCUCGCGGCCUAUCAGCUUGUUGGUGGGGUAACGGCCUACCAAGGCGACGACGGGUAGCCGGCCUGAGAGGGCGACCGGCCACACUGGGACUGAGACACGGCCCAGACUCCUACGGGAGGCAGCAGUGGGGAAUAUUGCGCAAUGGGCGAAAGCCUGACGCAGCGACGCCGCGUGGGGGAUGAAGGCCUUCGGGUUGUAAACCCCUUUCAGCAGGGACGAAGCGAAAGUGACGGUACCUGCAGAAGAAGCGCCGGCUAACUACGUGCCAGCAGCCGCGGUAACACGUAGGGCGCAAGCGUUGUCCGGAAUUAUUGGGCGUAAAGAGCUCGUAGGCGGUCUGUUGCGUCCGCUGUGAAAACUCGGGGCUUAACCCCGAGCCUGCAGUGGAUACGGGCAGACUAGAGGUAGGUAGGGGAGAAUGGAAUUCCCGGUGUAGCGGUGAAAUGCGCAGAUAUCGGGAGGAACACCGGUGGCGAAGGCGGUUCUCUGGGCCUUACCUGACGCUGAGGAGCGAAAGCGUGGGGAGCAAACGGGAUUAGAUACCCUGGUAGUCCACGCCGUAAACGUUGGGCGCUAGGUGUGGGACCCUUCCACGGGUUCCGUGCC